rnacentral:lncRNA from 1 species
UUCCUUUUAUUUUUUCCCACUUAUUUUAAUUCUGAUUAAAAAAAUUCAAACACAAACCUUCAUUAUUUCCCCCCUUUUAUUUUAUUACACUUUAUUUUAUUUUAUUUGAGCUUUUUUUGAUUGACUUUCCAUGCCUUGAACAUUGAUGGCUAAUGAGAUCUAUUUGGUCAUGAUUGUGGAUUGAUUAGGGUUGAUAAAACCUUAUAUGUUUCAGAUCUAUCAAUGAAUGAUCAAUGGAUCAUUCAUGAUACUUUGAGGUAUAGAUAAAUUGUCUUUAUAUCAACCAAACUUG